UACAGAGGUCUCAAGCGUUGUUCGGAUUCAUUGGGCGUAAAGGGCGCGUAGGCGGCGUGACAAGUCACUUGUGAAAUCUCCGGGCUUAACCCGGAGCGGCCAAGUGAUACUGUCGUGCUAGAGUGCGGAAGGGGCUACUGGAAUUCUCGGUGUAGCGGUGAAAUGCGUAGAUAUCGUGAGGAAGACCAGUGGCGAAGGCAGCUCGCUGGGACGUUACUGACGCUGAGACGCGAAAGCGUGGGGAGCAAACAGG
rnacentral:rRNA from 1 species